UGCAAUGGUGGCUGUGCGCGGGAGGACCUCGGUCCUGCCGGGACCUAUACCCCCCGGUUUUCCAACCUGCGUACAGCUGCCACCCAU
rnacentral:antisense_RNA from 1 species